rnacentral:misc_RNA from 1 species
GAAUAUUCAUUUUAUGCAAUUAAUUUUGUAAAGGUUAUGCUAAUGUAAGCCUAAUUUUAUGUUAAUAUAUAUAUUAAAAAUCAUUAACAGUUAGUUUACCAGAUUUAUGUUAAUUCAAUGCACAAAGCGCCAUGCAUUAGUUUACAACAUAACGCUAGUAAAUAAAUUCUCCAGGUGUAUGAGAGAAACAUGAAAAACAGAGAGUAAAAAAAUAAUGGUUACUGAAAACGAUAAAACUUGAAACGUGUUAGAUACAUUGAGCGUGAAACUCUUUCGGUGGUAAAAGACAUCGGAUAUAUAUGUCCUUUUUAAGUGAAGAUUACAUAGAUCAAACAUUUCAAAAAUAUUAAUACAAAUUUGCGUUACUUUUCUGUUGAUAACGUAACUAACAUAGACGUUUCAACAAGGGAAUAAUAGAGUAUAAGCAUCAUGUUUCUUAUUGCGUCGUUCAUCGUCCGACUACUUGUUCGUCCGUCGACUAUGUCAUUGCUCUGACGUGACCUUUACCUUAGCUGAUAUAUUACGGUGUAUAGGUAAACGAGCCCAUUAAUCAAUUAAAUCUUGGAGUCACCUAACCGCCAUUCAACGUACAAUAUAAAUGAUUUAUUGUCAGCAAUUCAUCAAUAAUUUAAUGAUAAGAGAGUCACAUUUAUCAUAUUGCAUUUUUCUUAAUACAUAUUAUAAUGAUGUUCAUUAGUCAUUUUUUGUGUAAACAAAUACUAACAUAAUAUCAUUACGAAUUUGACUGUAACCAGGGCAUUACCAUAAAAAAGUGUUAGCAUGAUCAGCUAUUUUUGAUCGUUUUUUGUUUUGUCCAACAAACUAAGUCACUCAUUCGUUGAGACUUUUACCGUUAGCUUUAGAUACUGGUACCCCUAUACAUGAACUUCAAAAGGGACUUAAAUAAAUGUUCAUGCCUUAACGAAAAGUGCAAAUUGUUGUAAUUUUUUUACACAAUAGAUAUACUUUUUAGAAUGGCAAAAAGUGAAGAACAAUAUUAUAUACUAGUCGCGCUAUCGUACUAUUGCGGUAAACCAUGGUACUGUCGUGUUCUCGCCAUCGUACUGUUGAGCUUCGCCAUCGUACCAUCUCACGUUCAAAAUCCUUAACGGAACAGCGUACACAAAUGUGACAGACAGACAAAAUCGGUUUUAUUUGUAACCUGAGGUACUUUGCGUCAGUUUUGUAUGUAACAUAAUAUAAUUUCCUUUCGAAUUAUUCGACGACAUAAAUUUUCCUUUUAGACCCAAAUGGAAAGUGAUUAAUUAGCCAGUAACAUUUCAAACCCCAUAAAAGCAUGAUUAUGUGAAAUGGUUGCACUUGUAAAUAUUUAAGAUGUAUAAUACGUACAUAGUAUGACUAUGCAUAGCAGGUGAAGUGAUUUUUAUAUAAAGAUUUAGUCGUUAAUGAACCUUAUGUUCGCAAGAUUUAUUUGUUUAUAUUCUUUCAAUAUUAUUUUACUUCGCCUUUUGUUCUAUUAACAUGAUUAAGUUUUAUUUGUUACAGUUUUAAUGCAUUUCAUAUAUGACUAAAACUAUGUAGUUUUUAUCUUUAUUUACAUAACUUCUAUGUUGAUAUGCGACCGUGUACAUUAAAAUUGAAAGGGUUUAAAUCUGUAUGCAAUCUUUACAUAUUAUUGGAAGAAUUUCUUCCCUUAGAUAUGCUCAGUACAUGUUUACACAAUACGUUUUUGAUAUUAUUUUGUAAGGCUAGAUAAUCAUUCGUUCUCUGCCUCUGAUUCAUUAGGGGAAGGUGGCAGUUACUUGCGGAGAACAGGUUUUUACUGGUACAGAAUCCAGGAACACUGGUUAGGUUAACUGUCCGACGCUACAUAACUGAAAUACUGUUGAAAAACGGCGUUAAACCCAAAAACAAACAAACCAACAAUCAAAAAAACAAAACUAUCAAAUCUAAACCUGGAAAGAAAAUAGCUUAACCUCAGAUUAUUGUCUUUUUCAUAUCCCGGCUGGAAUUAUGGAAGUGUUUGGUGUAAUGAAGAAACAGAUGAAAAUGGGUAAUGGGGAUUGGAUAUAAGUGAAAGGAACUGAAAGGUGGACUUGGAGAAAUGAAGUUGCAGUCUAUGGUCCUGUUUGCCCUGUGUUGUAGGACAAAAUCUGAAGAAGCUUCUUCUCUACACAUCAACUGAAAUUAAGAAGAUGUUUGAGAACAUCAAAAAUGACAGUCAAAAUACAGCAAUGGAAAAAAAGACAGCAAUUCUAAGCAUGCUGGUUGUCCAAGAGUGAUAUUAACUCCAUCAUAAAUCACCUUCUUGAAAAAAAAAGGACAGACUGAGAGGAAGGGUUUCAUUGAUGGCACAGACUCAAUUAUAGGUCUACCAGCUACCCCAACCAAAGAAGUUUCUGUCAAGAAAGGAGUACUUCCAACCCAGUUCUAUUUCGUUAUACUGUGCAUAUGGCAGAAGAGGUAUAAGGAAAUAAUAUAAUUGACAGCAAAAACAACAACAAAUUAUGAAUUUUUCCAUUGAUUGGUGGUGGAGGGGAUAAUAUUGUUGUCAGUUUGAGAAGUAGAAGAAAACGUAAAUGUACAAAACUGAUGAGAUGCACACAGAUGUAGGGGUUUCUUUACACAGCGUCUUAAAAACAAGCUGAUUCUUUUUUUACGUGUCUCGUGCAAUUUAGCGGUAUGAAGGCUCGUAAGAUAAUGUUUUCUUCGAAGAUUGCUGAAUUUCUUUUGAUCGUCUCUACAUUGAAAGUGUUAUUCUCUCUUGGAAUUGAACUGACACCAAGCAAUGCAACUGCUGUAGAAAACGGAAAUAUUACACUUACCUGCUCUUCAUUUUCAACUUCAUCAAAUAUUUCUCGGUGGACAACUUCAGAAAGACCAUUGCAUGAUGCAUACAUAAAUGGGGAUGAGCAUAAUAAGUGUACUGCCACAAACUUUUUAUUAGACAACACAUUAUAUGACUUGAAGUGUAAAGGGAACAACUCACACUCUGUUACCUUGAUAAAUGUAACGGCUGAACAACAUGGAGUAACGUGGCAGUGUUCAAACGUCACACAAUCUGUACUGAGGAAAUCAGUUAUAUAUGUUAUAGUUCCAGUAAAAACAAUACAGAUGACUGAACCAAAUACCAACAAACUGACACAGAAAGAGAACACAAACAUCACAUUAGUUUGCAAAACGUCACCAAGUCGUCCUGGACAGAAUUUUGUUUGGCUUAUUAAUAAAAAUGCGACAGAUGUUCCAGCCGAUAUUAUUUUACAAGACGGUAUUUCAGUUAAGAGCAAUAUCACAAGAAAUGGAUUAAUAUCUAUUGAAAGUAAAUUGUUUUACAUGUUGGAGAGGUCUAAGAACGGCUGGAGUAUUCGCUGUGAGAUGGAUAACAUCAUUGGCGAGCGAGUGUCGUCGAAAAAUAUUUUGCUUAAUAUCACAUACCCGCCAAACGGACCCCUAAAAAUUGAAAACUUCAACAAUGGAAGUAUCUAUAAGAUAAUAGAACACCACCGUGCAUACCUAUCAUGCAGUAUCGACAAAGGAAACCCUCUUCCUGCUUUAUCAUGGACUUGCAAUAGUUACAAGGCCAAUCUAUUUGUAAAUCAGUCGAUAGUCACAAAAAACGUAGAGUGGUUUGCCAAACGCAACCAGAAUUCAAAAUGUGUCUGCAAGUCAAAAUACAAUGGAUGGGUGUCAGCGGUGUUCGUUAAUAUAGACAUUUUAUACCCACCAAGCACUCCUACCAUGACGUUAAAAUACACAGAACACGGAACAGUGGUUAAUAUUUCAAACAAUAUUAGUGUUAUAGAAAACACAUCGAUCAAGUUAGUAUGUUUAACACGAAGUAACCCGAACGCAUCUUAUACAUGGUCAGGAGAAUCUGCAUCGUCUUCGUCUAAUGAGCUUGAGAUUAUUGUAAAAGGAAAGCAUAAACGAAACAUUACAUGUCAUGUCCAGAAUACAAUGACGCCAAGCUUUGAGUCCAAGAAAACCGAAGGAAAUAGUACUACUAUCAACUUAGAUGUUCUUUACCUUCCCAGCAUCGGUAAUUUUACCAACACCAGUGCUGUAGAAGGCGAUAUCUUUCGAAUAAAGUGUCCUGUAAUUCCCGGAAAUCCACCACAUACUAGCUAUAGAUGGACAAAGAAAUUAGAGAAUGAGACAUAUGAAGUCAGCAACACUGAAGAUUUAUUUAUUUCAAAAGUUUCGAGGAAGAACGCUUCGGAGUACACAUGUACAGUUAACAACACUAUGAAUCCUACGGGGUGCAAUGAAACGAAAGGAACCUCAGAAAAACGUUUUUUCUUUGAUGUUAUGUACAAAGCCGUCGUGACAGAUUUUUUUAUUAAAGGAAAUCUUGGUAGAAAUGAAACUGUGGUUGAUGAAAAUGAUACCAUACAACUAACGUGCUACGUUGUAAGCAAUCCUCGAUCAGUUGUUUCAAUAAUAUUUGGAGAUAUAAUAUUAAAUAGAACGUCUAACACAAACAACGUUACCUGCAUAAAAAGAAUUACUUCUUGCCGCCAACAAGGUCUAUACAGCUGCAAUGGAAGUAAUACAUACAACAAUGGAAUGCAGUCUAAGAAAGAUUUGAUAUUACUAGUUCGUUGCAGACCAUCUCCAGCUAAAAAGGUGACAGACAAUGUGACUUCAGCUAAAUAUCAGUCAGCAACAUUGCAUUUCACAGCUGAAGCCUAUCCUGAGCCAGGACCAAACGGUUUUAUAUGGAAACGUCUAAUCAAUAGUGCAUGGAUCACACUGGAUGAAGAAAACCAUAAAUAUAGCAUAAAGUCACUAGAGCUGCAGUCAAAUCUUACUAUCCAUAAUGUCACAGAUAGUGAUUUUGGACAGUAUAAGCUUCUGAUCAACAACUCUGUUGGUUCAUAUGAGCAGUUAUAUAAAAUAUCUGAAGAACAGCAAACUGCUGCAAAAGAAAUCUUUGGUGAGACAUCGAAGAAUAUUGUCUUUAUUGUAGUUGGUGUUGUCUGUGGCGUCAUAGUUAUCAUAGCAGUUGUUGUCGGUACAUAUCUAAUAAGGAGGAGAAAUGGUACACUAACGGAGAAGGUGAUUUACCAAAACGUUAUAUCAAAUGACAAACAUCUGAAAAUGAAAAGAAAAGCCAAAACAAAACAUGAGGAAGAGAAACCUUUUGAAGAGCUGCAAGAGCUUGAUGAUGUUCCUAAGUUUACCAAUGAACCAGCCGAAUACUCCAAUUCACCUGAAAUAAUAGAAAGGAUAAACAGAAUUAAAGUAGACGAACUAUUCUCAUAUGUCUCGGAAAAGAGUGAAGACUCAUUUGGUGUCCAUUACCAGAAAUUACCAUCCGGACUUCAAAAGCCAUGCACAUUUGCCAGAAAACCUGAAAAAAUAGCUCUCAACAGAUACAAUGGUAUAUAUCCGUAUGAUCACUCAAGAGUCAAGCUGCCCGGUCAUCCAGACUUCUUCAUAAAUGCAUGUUACAUUGACGGCUAUAAAAGAUGUAAUGCCUACAUAGCAUCUCUAGGACCGACGGCAAAAACAACUGGCGACUUCAUAAAUUUUUGGCAAAUGAUUUGGCAUGAACGGUCAGACAUUAUUGUUAUGCUUACGAACCUACGGGAGCCAUCGGGAAUGAAGUGUGAACAGUAUUGGCCAAAAGAUGGUUACAGGAACUUUUAUGGGGAUUUUAGUGUUUCAAGUCAGAAAACAGAAGUUUUUGCGGAGUAUACUGUCAGAACGUUUAGCGUUUUAAAAGAUGAAGAACGUCGCAAUGUAACCCAUCUUCAUUAUACUGCAUGGCCAGAUAAAAAGGUACCAGAAGAUACAACAAGCUUGCUUGAAUUCAGAGAGAGAAUGAAAAGAACGCAUACAUUGCUGGAGGGACCUAUAGUAGUACAUUGCAGUGCUGGCAUUGGUCGCACGGGAACUUUAAUAGCGAUUGAUAGGCUAAUUGCAGAGGGACAAGAUGUAGGGUCAGUAGAUGUGUUUGUAUGCGUUACCAGCAUGAGAGAACAAAGGGUCAAAAUGGUUCAAACGUUGGAGCAAUAUGUGUACAUUUACAAAGCCCUAGCGAACGCUCUUACGUUCGACCGAGAAACAAUUUCUGUCGAAAAUAUACAAGGGUUUGUGGCUACAACAAACAGCAAAUUUUACAAUAAACAAUUCCAGCAACUGAAGCAAUCGGUAGAGGCAGACAGCAAAGAGGUGUUAGAAGAACGUGUUGUUAAUGAAAGGUUAACAAACCAAAAUCGCGAAGGAGCUGAUAUUCCAGACGACAGAUUUCGGGUGAUGUUACAUCUAAGCAGGGAAGAAAAUGACUCCGAUUACAUUAAUGCUGUUUACUUGAAUAGUUUCAAGAAGAGAGAUUACUUCAUCACAGCUCAGACCCCGUUACCAAACACUGUUGCAGACUUCAUUUGCAUGGUUUAUCAAAACGAAUGCACAUGUAUUGUUACUAUGGAUGAUUUCAAAGAGCCUGGAAUGAUGAUUGGUGAAUAUCUUCCAAAAGAAAAAAAUACACUGUCCUUUGGCCAGUUUACAGUGUUUUCUUCCAUACUGGAAACAAAACAUCAGUAUGUUGUAAGGAAAAUGAAAAUAAAGUAUAGUGGCAAGUUCGUUAGUGGCGAGAAGGUUGUGUACCAUUUUCAAUAUACAAAAUGGAUGCAGAAGAACGAAACACCAGCUAAUGCAGGAGACUUUGUGCAGUUUGUGAAAGAAGUUGAAGACUAUGCCAGUGAAUUGGGCGACGAGAGAUCACAAGAAAGCAAAUGAAAGAAGUGGAUUGUUUUGUGCAGUGAAAAUUUUAAUGGAGAAAAUUAAAUUUGAACGACAUAUCAGUGUUUUGAGUACCCUUAGACAUUUAAGAACAAGGAGACGAUCAGCAAUAACAAGCACGGAUCAGCUGCGAUUUUGCUACCAGGCUGUGAGUGCUUUCGUCAAGUUGUACAGACUUUAAAUUUGAGCAACCGGCAUGGACUUGCAAGCUCACUUUGUCUUCCUUACAUAUAAUCACACAUCAUGGAACAAUUCGUUACCUUUUGAGAGCAAAUUUAAGUGCAAUGUCUUUGCAUUGCGGUGAUUUAAUGUUUUGAAUAAUGCCAUAAACAAUAUGCUACCUUAAAUUUAAAAUGACUAUUGAAUUUGAAGGUUGUCUCAAAUAAUAUUCAAAAGUAGAAUAAAAACAAAUACUACAGCUGCUUUAGAUUAAGAUCCCAUCAUUUUAGCUGGAAGAUAGAACAAACAGAUUAUAUAAGUAUUGUAACAAAAAUGUACACUGUAAUUGAACAUGUGUAUCUGUAUUAUGUUACACCUUUUUGCUACAACAUAUAUGAAUAAGUUUGAAAAACACUUGGUUAAUAUUGCAUACAUUGUAUACUCAAAGACUUUUCCAACUCCAUAUCUGCAUUUUCAUUUUCUUCUCUGCUUAAUUUUGACAGAUUGGAAUGAAAUUGGGCACAUUAUUUAAUGAUUAUUUCAUUAUAAGAAUACAUUACAACGAAAAUUAUCGGCAGUAAACUCAUUAAGACGUAACUGUUUGAAUAAGGUAAGCCUUAAAUCAAAAGUCACAAAACUACUAAAUCCCAAAGACAGCAUUAUCCUUUGAACAUGUUGAAUUAGCGAAAUUCAGAAUAUUUUAUUCUGAUUUUUCUCUUCCAUUUAGUCGAAAAUGAACAUUUUCAGAAUCAACUUGGAAAUUUCGUAUCAGGUUUCUGACGUCGCUAAUGACACAAUAUUAAGGUAGUUCUGCAUGUUUGGAUACAAAAAUUUUCUACAAUGUAGAAUUUCAUUAAACCCAGAUUUUUCAAAACUUCAAAAUACACAGAGUAAAUUCGGCAAAUAAAAAAAAGACAGGGUCGUGUGCUCGAUUUUUUGCUAGACUUAUAUGAAACAUAUUAACCUCACAAAAGUUUUCACAAUGGGAGUCUAUGGUAAAAUCACAAUUUUGAUAACAUUUUCGCGGAUAGAUUUUUUUUCUACAAUGUAGAUUUUAAAGAAAAUUCUCACAAUCGUAAAUAAACAUAUGGCAUAUAAAAUGGUGAAAUAAAAUGUUUAGGUCCGUGUGCUUGUUUUUGAGAUAUUUGCCCUCAAUUAAAGAGAUCCACCGCAUUUCUGGCUAACUUUAAGACAUUUUUCGGAAUUAUUUAACGUGUCAAAUGUUUUAAUAUCAUAUUUUAACUUUAGAAAGAUAGUAACGUUGCCGUUGUAAUAGAUUCACUCACCUGUUGCCAUAAAUUUAUAAAAUGAUUUUCAUUUCCGCAUGCUAUGUUUUCUGAAUAAAUGACGCUACGCCAUUACUUCCGGUUUAUCAAACGUGCAGAACUGC